rnacentral:rRNA from 1 species
UACGGAGGGUGCGAGCGUUGUCCGGAAUCACUGGGCGUAAAGGGCGCGUAGGCGGCGCGGGUAGUCAUCGGUGAAAGUUCAGGGCUCAACUCUGAAUCGGCCGGUGAUACUCCCGUGCUCGAGCACUGUAGAGGCAGGUGGAAUUCCGGGUGUAGCGGUGGAAUGCGUAGAUAUCUGGAGGAACACCGGUGGCGAAGGCGGCAUCCUGGACCGGCAUUGACGCUGAGGCGCGAAAGCCAGGGGAGCAAACGGG